rnacentral:rRNA from 1 species
UGGCGGCGUGCUCAACACAUGCAAGUCGAACGGAAAGGCCCUGCUUUUGUGGGGUGCUCGAGUGGCGAACGGGUGAGUAACACGUGAGUAACCUGCCCUUGACUUUGGGAUAACUUCAGGAAACUGGGGCUAAUACCGGAUAGGAGCUCCUGCUGCAUGGUGGGGGUUGGAAAGUUUCGGCGGUUGGGGAUGGACUCGCGGCUUAUCAGCUUGUUGGUGGGGUAGUGGCUUACCAAGGCUUUGACGGGUAGCCGGCCUGAGAGGGUGACCGGCCACAUUGGGACUGAGAUACGGCCCAGACUCCUACGGGAGGCAGCAGUGGGGAAUAUUGCACAAUGGGCGGAAGCCUGACGCAGCAACGCCGCGUGCGGGAUGACGGCCUUCGGGUUGUAAACCGCUUUCGCCUGUGACGAAGCGUGAGUGACGGUAAUGGGUAAAGAAGCACCGGCUAACUACGUG